rnacentral:lncRNA from 1 species
UGAGAGUGUACUGGCCUAACAGUAAGAGGUUAAUGCCUAAAACCAGAGAUCCUGGGUUCGAGUCCUUCGUCGCGCGGUCUUUAAAUAUUCUUUAUUUACUUAUGUAAUUUAUAAAAAAAAACGAAUCAAGCAAAAUUAGCUUAGGAUAUUCCACAUCAAUUAUCUAAGUUCAAUUUAUCUAAAUAAAUAAGGUUUUACUAUUUUUAUCUAUCAGAACUAAGCCUAAUAAUGAAUGCCCUC